rnacentral:rRNA from 1 species
UACGUAGGGGGCUAGCGUUGUCCGGAAUCAUUGGGCGUAAAGAGCGUGUAGGCGGCCUGGUAAGUCCGCUGUAAAAGUCAAAGGCUCAACCUUUGAAUGUCAGUGGAUACUGCCGGGCUAGAGUCCGGAAGAGGCGAGUGGGAACUCCUGGUGUAGCGGUGGAAUGCGCAGAUAUCAGGAAGAACACCCGUGGCGAAGGCGGCUCUCUGGGGACGGUACUGACGCUGAGACGCGAAAGCGUGGGGAGCGAACAGG